CUGUUCUAAAAGCAAAAGGAGAUGGUGGUGGGGGUGGGAGGUACAGACAGGCCAAGCUGAAACCCUCCCAGCACCUGGAGAGGCAUCAAGGGUCAGCGAAGUGGGGAUGGGCAUCCUUGCAUUGGUCGCAGUCCAGCUCUUGGCCUCAGGAUAAAUCUGCCCCUGGAAACCACCACGCUGCUCCCUGUCUCCAUGGAUUUGCCGGAUCUGGACAUUCUGUGGAAUGCCACAUCGCUGCCACCUGGUGUGAUUGCAAGAGAGCCUGACACCACGUUCAGAUCCUACCCAGCCACGACUCCACCCCCGAAUAAAAGCGCAGAGCUAGCCACUAAAUGCAGACCGCAGCUGAUUAUACCUGACUCAGCCUUGGGUUGCCUGUGCCUGUUUCCUGCCCCUCUACAUCUGCAUUUAUGUGCCCCUCUCUGGUUGUAGGCUCCUAGGGUAAUAAAAGAGAUUUUAUGCCAACUAUUGGC
ensembl:lncRNA